GCCCUUGUAGCUCAGUCGUAGUAGCGCAUGACUUGUAAUUAAUGAGAUCAUGAGGUCCGCGGUUCAAUCCCGCGCGGGGGCA
rfam:Emmonsia pasteuriana TAMH 9510 supercont1.16, whole genome shotgun sequence.